GGCCUGGUGGUGUAGUGGUUACACAUCCUCAAGCUUUAAGUCAGUGUCAGUCAACAAUAGCUUGUGAGGAAGUUCCCUGUUGGAGCCAGGGCCAGGCCA